AGCUAUCAGAAGCUUGCCUUACUCUCAUUGUUCCUUCACUGCUGUCAUUGCCAAUUUUCUCGCUACUUUUCUUUCUGAGUGAAAUCAACUGCAAUUUGCUCAUCCGUCAAAAUUAUGAUCACACAAUGGGAUUUAAGUCAGAAUAAUCCAAACAAGAUACUGAAGAUCACCGGGGCGCACAUCCAUCAUGACUGGAAACACGGGAACAUGUUGCGGCUACAAGCAACUUGGCACACUACUUGUGCUCAUUUCAAAAUAUUUACAUUUUUGAUAGCUUUGCAGUAAGAAAAGAGCAGCAGACAGCAGUCCAGCAAGACCGAAGUGUAGAAAGCAAGUGCAAUUGUGCUCAGAAUUAAAUGAGUUCAAAAGGAGUUAGGUUUUUCUUCAAUGUAUUUGAUUACGUAAUAAAUAUUGCUGCAAAAUUAUUA